rnacentral:tRNA from 1 species
GCCGCGGUGAUGCAAUUGGCGAGACAUGACGGACUUAAAAUCCGUUGGGAGCAAUCCCUUGUGGGUUCGAGUCCCACCCGCGGCA